ensembl:lncRNA
AUCUGACUUAAAUUUAGAAGUGGUCAGCAUAAGAAAGAGUUAGGGAGAGACAGACAGAGCAGGAGAUAUGCAGUGGACUAGUCUUAGCACUCAGCUAUUAGCAUUUGUUACCAGCACACCAAGCAAUCCAGCAGCACUGUUGUGCAGGCAUCAGCACUGGAGCCUCUCUUCCUUGAGACUCUGGUUUUAAAAAACAGAUGAUUAUGCAGGAGUAGUAUUUUCAGCAUCUUUUUACAUGGAAAGAUGGAAUGUGUCUGGAGUAAGUACUGGACAGAAUUGGUGUUUCCCAUCCAAACCUGCUGCUUUGGGUCAACAUUUGAUAUAUGUCUUCAAAAGGGCAAGAAACAACUUCAUGUUUUAUAAAACUCUACAACUCUUAGAAGCUAUCCACACACUCAGAGAGCGAAGAAGAGUUUUUGAGGACAAAAGAGACAGGAACUCACACAUAUGUGUUCCCAAAUCAAAGGGAAAUCUGAUGUAUAGAAGACCAUCCAAGAGAGCAGCAGAUUUCUGAAUUUGAUGGAGCAGUUCAGUAGUGAUGAGAAAAACGGGAACCUGGGGAGAUACUGAAGGAUCAUGGAUUAUCAGAAGACACCUGAUCUGCAGUGCUGGAGAGAUGAGAGAUUCAUUAACCAUGUUAUAAGCUGGAGGAGAGAAAAUGUUGUCAAGUAGUGUUUGCAUGAUUUUCAGUGGCAUUAAUUCAUCCCUUGAAUAUGCUUUCUUUUUUAAGAAAUGAUGAAUUCCACUAAAGGUGAAAUGAAAGAAAUCAGUCCAAUUCAGAGAAGGCCCACUCUAGCUCUGUAUACCAAACAGAAAAUUCCAAAAUAACCUCAGCUGUAUGGUAGUAUGGAUGUUGCAGGCCAAAAGAUUUGAUUAUUGGGUUUCCAUAUAUUAGAAGAAAACACAUUUUCAAAACGUGUUAGCAUUGCACACUAUGCAUCCAGUAUAUGAGCCCAUGAAUCUUCCAUCUUGAUUGCACAAUAAUAGACGGGAUAGUAUCCAUUCCUGGUAAUACACUCACAGUCACAGGACAAGGAUUUGCUCAGCUCAGGGAACCCAUCUGGUCAAACUUAAUUGUUACUACAGCAGUAUGUUUAAUUUUGACAGCCCUGGGUGAUAUGAAAGAAUUAAUUUCAUUGUAAACCUCAAUGACCACUUCAUUAGUGGUAGAUAUUCCCACCUCUACUUGAUAAGCGACUGACUUCUAGCUGCAAAUAGCAACAGACAGCAACACUCUUUUGGAUAAUAAAUAGCAACAAACAGCACUUGAAAUUUCUCA